GAUGAACGCUGGCGGCGUGCCUAAUACAUGCAAGUCGAGCGAACAGACGAGGAGCUUGCUCCUCUGACGUUAGCGGCGGACGGGUGAGUAACACGUGGAUAACCUACCUAUAAGACUGGGAUAACUUCGGGAAACCGGAGCUAAUACCGGAUAAUAUAUUGAACCGCAUGGUUCAAUAGUGAAAGACGGUUUUGCUGUCACUUAUAGAUGGAUCCGCGCCGCAUUAGCUAGUUGGUAAGGUAACGGCUUACCAAGGCAACGAUGCGUAGCCGACCUGAGAGGGUGAUCGGCCACACUGGAACUGAGACACGGUCCAGACUCCUACGGGAGGCAGCAGUAGGGAAUCUUCCGCAAUGGGCGAAAGCCUGACGGAGCAACGCCGCGUGAGUGAUGAAGGUCUUCGGAUCGUAAAACUCUGUUAUUAGGGAAGAACAAAUGUGUAAGUAACUAUGCACGUCUUGACGGUACCUAAUCAGAAAGCCACGGCUAGCUACGUA
rnacentral:rRNA from 1 species